UUUGGAGCAUGCUUCUGUACGUCAGACCCAAAUUGCUGAAUCAUUUGUAUCAUCGCCUGACAAUCUUGACGAACUAUGUACUUGACUGAUGAAGCUGUUGCACUUUUUCUUUACUUUACUCUUUAUUGCAAUGAAAUGCUGUCUUUCUGGAGUAUGUCUUGGUGCGAACUUAUUUGGAUACACUGUUGAUGCCCAUCCUGGAAGCAUUAUAUGAUGCUCCAAAAAGGACAUCUAAUCAAAUCUACAUGUUGCUGAUCAUACUUCUCAUACUUAGUCAAGAUUCAUCUUUUAAUGCAAGCAUUCACAAAUUGGUAAGGAUUGCCUCC